rnacentral:rRNA from 1 species
UCGGGAAUUUUGGGCAAUGGGCGAAAGCCUGACCCAGCAACGCCGCGUGAAGGAUGAAGUAUUUCGGUAUGUAAACUUCGAAAGAAUAGGAAGAAUAAAUGACGGUACUAUUUAUAAGGUCCGGCUAACUACGUGCCAGCAGCCGCGGUAAUACGUAGGGACCAAGCGUUGUUCGGAUUUACUGGGCGUAAAGGGCGCGUAGGCGGCAAUUCAAGUCAUCUGUGAAAUCUCCGGGCUUAACUCGGAACGGUCAGAUGAUACUGCUUUGCUAGAGUGCAGAAGGGGCAAUCGGAAUUCUUGGUGUAGCGGUGAAAUGCGUAGAUAUCAAGAGGAACACCUGAGGUGAAGACGGGUUGCUGGGCUGACACUGACGCUGAGGUGCGAAAGCGUGGGGAGCAAACAGGAUUAGAUACCCUUGUAGUCCCUGAGCGGGCUGGCAAGGCGCAU